UUCGUGUAUUUUUUAUAGAUGUUUACAAUAUCAGGACUUUAACACACAUGGAUCUAUGCAGGAUUGUACCUAAGGACUUAUGGACUUAUUUCUACAACAUUGGAAAGUUGAACUGUUAACUUUUAUGCUUCUUUUUUCUUUUCUCUCUUCAUCUCCUUAUUCCUUUACUCCUGUCCUCUAUGUCAUCAUUUCAUCAAGCUAUACCCUUCUCAUUUUCUCUAUUUGUCUCUC